UAAAAAUGUGAUAAUGUUAAGUAAUUAUGUUAUAUGAAAAUAAAUGAUAGUAAACAAAGGAGAGAAAAAAAAAAAAGAAAAAAAAAAGAAGAAAGAAAAAAGGAAGGAGAAAAGAAAGAAAUUAUCGUUUUCAACGCACGCGUAGCCCGCCUUUUAUUUAUAUAAAUUUAUAUAUGUAUACAUAUAUAUAUAUAUAUAUAUAUAUAUAUAUAUAUAGAUAGAUAGAUCGUCUUCGUGCCAAGCACUGACGAUGCAUAUAUAUCAUUAUUUACAAGUUUACAAGCGAAAGCAGCGAAACACCGAGUCCAGCAGACUCUCUCGACAUCGGAUUUUAAUCUCUAUUCCUUUUUUCCUCCGUGCAAAGAGAAGAAAACGAAGAAGAAGAAGAAG